UAAUGGUCUCAACCCGGUACGGAAUUAGACCCAACCCGUUGUAGUCUAGAAAGUAGUUCUUUAAAAUUUUGAAGUGGCCCAAUUUAAGUCAUCUCUAGUUAGAUUGGUCAUAAUUAAAGUGUAUUUAUUGCAUGUGUGUAGCUUUUGUGUGUUAUAUGAUGUGUUUAAAAGUUGUUUUUUGUGUAUUCUCCAGGAACUCAUUUGUUGGCGGAAGGAUUAAAGAUGUACCACCCACCAGCAGUCAGGAGUUUUCAAAGUGGUGAAUUUAAACUGUGUUACAACAGAGUGAAGAUUUCUGAAAAAAGUAGAUGGCUAACCUAUUAUAUUUUGGGCCUCAUUUGACUUAAAUAGUGUUGAUGUUUAAAGUUGAAGACAGUAUAUAAUUCAUCAAGAACAGUGGAAUCCUGAAUUAAGCCUCAAAUGUGACUGAUUUACUAUAGAACAAAGAACACGAAAAUUCACCGGGCCGUCACCAAGAGGAGAAAUUUGAAAAAUUGGAACUGGUUGAUGGAUAUGGAUGAAACUUUGCAUCAGUGUUGUGUUUAUGCAUAGAAAUCAGGAAAAUAAAGGAUAACUGACAGACCAUGCAGUUACCAAAGCCGGGGUUUGAGUACAGGACCUUACCUUAUACUGGUUAAGAUCUAUGGAAGAACUCUUUCAGCUCAGUUUGGCAGCAGAUUUGUCAGGACAAGUUGAGAAGGAACUCAUUUGUUGGCGGAAGGAUUAAAGAUGUACCACCCACCAGCUGUCAGGAGUUUUCAAAGUGGUGAAUUUAAACUGUGUUACAACAGAGUGAAGAUUUCUGAAAAAAGUAGAUGGCUAACCUAUUGUAUUUUGGGCCUCAUUUGACUUAAAUAGUGUUGAUGUUUAAAGUUGAAGACAGUAUGUAAUUCAUCAAGAACAGUGGAAUCCUGAAUUAAGCCUCAAAUGUGACUGAUUUACUAUAGAACAAAGAACACGAAAAUUCACCAGGCCGUCA